UGGCUCAGAGCGAACGCUGGCGGCAGGCUUAACACAUGCAAGUCGAGCGGGCGUAGCAAUACGUCAGCGGCAGACGGGUGAGUAACGCGUGGGAACGUACCUUUUGGUUCGGAACAACACAGGGAAACUUGUGCUAAUACCGGAUAAGCCCUUACGGGGAAAGAUUUAUCGCCGAAAGAUCGGCCCGCGUCUGAUUAGCUAGUUGGUGAGGUAAUGGCUCACCAAGGCGACGAUCAGUAGCUGGUCUGAGAGGAUGAUCAGCCACAUUGGGACUGAGACACGGCCCAAACUCCUACGGGAGGCAGCAGUGGGGAAUAUUGGACAAUGGGGGCAACCCUGAUCCAGCCAUGCCGCGUGAGUGAUGAAGGCCCUAGGGUUGUAAAGCUCUU
rnacentral:rRNA from 1 species